rnacentral:rRNA from 1 species
AUUGAACGCUGGCGGCAGGCUUAACACAUGCAAGUCGAGCGAGCGGCGGACGGGUGAGUAAUGUCUGGGAAACUGCCUGAUGGAGGGGGAUAACUACUGGAAACGGUAGCUAAUACCGCAUACCAUCAGAUGUGCCCAGAUGGGAUUAGCUAGUAGGUGGGGUAAUGGCUCACCUAGGCGAAGAUCCCUAGCUGGUCUGAGAGGAUGACCAGCAACACUGGACCUGAGAAAAGGUACAGACUCAUAGGGGAGGCAGCAGUGGGGAAUAUUGAAAAAUGGGCGAAAGCCCGAUACAGCCAUGCCGGGUGUGUGAAGAAGGCCUUCGGGUUGUAAAGCACUUUCAGCGAGGAGGCGUUACUCGCAGAAGAAGCACCGGCUAACUCCGUGCCAGCAGCCGCGUGAAAC